GAAUACCAGUCUCCUGGCGGCGGCUGGCACAGCGGAGCUGCUCUCCAAGCAGCGGGGUUCCCAGGCUGGGAAGUUUGCAUUGCCGUUUCUUUGCGGGCGGGCGGCGAGCGCCGACUGCAUGCCACCUGCGAGAGGAAGAGGCCGGUGAAGUCUCACUCUGUUGCCCAGGCUGGAGUGCAGUGGCACGAUCUCGGCUCGCUGCAACCUCCACCUCCCAGGUUCAAGCGAUCCUUCUGUUUCAGCCUCUCCAGUGGCUGGUAUUACAGGAACACACCACCAUGCCUGGCUAAUGCUUCUCUUUCUAUAAAUGAAGACGUGAGGCCGUGUAAGCUCCAAGAGAGCAGGGAUCUUGUUUGUCUUGGUCACCGUGAUAUUUCAGCUGCUGACCCAGUGCUUGAAGCAUACAAUCUGGAGUCUCCACAACUUUCUUCAUGGAACCACCACCAGGCCCCUUCUGUAGGCUUCUUAUGGAGGCUGAAGGUGUCUACAUGGCAGCAUAAAAUAGUAAUUAAGGACUCUGGAGUCACUGCCCAGGCUCAAAUCCCUGCUGCAAAUUGCGAGGUCUUUGAGUCUUGCCCUGUCGCCCAGGCUGGAGUGCAGUGGUGCGCUCUCAGCUGACUGCAACCUUUGCUUCCCGGGUUCAAGUGAUUCUCCUGCGUCAGCCUCCUGAGUAGCUGGGAUUACAGAAGAGAAACUGAGGCCCAUAAAAUUGAAUGGCUCAUCUCAGAUCAAGUGGCCAGAUCAAUGAAGAGAAGUGUCCUUAGGUCCGGCUGCUGGUGUGAAGUAUGCUCUGGAGGUCUGACAUCCACUCUCCCUCAGACUUUCUAAUACGGCAGGAAUUCCGUCCAUGAACUUUAUAAUAAACUGGAGCUAAAUCUGUCAGAAAAUGGAAGAAAUCUGGAUAGCAUUUCAGGAGCACUGGCAAAUGCCUACUCCUUACUUCCUAAUCCCAAACUGUCACACUGUGGCUGCACAUGUGCCCAAGCCCUUGUAUACUCAAGCUAGAGUUGCCAGAUGAAAUGGAGGACAUGGCUGGGUGCGGUGGCUCAGCUCGGAGCAGUGGCUCACGCCUGUAAUCCCAGCACUUUGGGAGGCCGAGGUGGGCUGAUGGCCUGAGGUCAGGAGUUCAAAACCAGCGUGGCCAACAAGAUGUGCCAGUUCUGGUAAAUUUCCUAGCAAGCUUGAAGGAAGUGAAGGACAACUGCAAGGAAGGGCAGGAUGGAGCAUGCAGCCCACGUAUUCCCCAGCUUGGUGGGGCAGAAUGCGUUCUUGGCUCCUGAGGAAUGGGCAGGCAACGCACAGGGGUCCUGGGAAGAAAGGGAGAGAAUAUCCUGGGAGAGCCAUAGACCCUGGCACCCUCCUGUGGUCCUUCAUCAGGAUAAAUUUCUAAAAGAAGAAUUACUGGCCAAAGGAUUCCUCUUCAGUUGGAAACAGCAGCAAAGUUCACAGGUCGUGAGUGGAUGUAAAGUGGACGGAACAGGUUGUUGCCAGUCUAUUGGAGUAGGAUGGUAGAUGAGCAGUCCCGUUGGCUAACAGCUUGUUGGAAUUUAAAUACGACCAAUCAAAAUGUGUUUAGGCUUCAAAGGAAAAAGUUCUCCAUAAAUACACCAGAAUUUCAUUCUAACAUGAUUCAUUCAUUCAAAGAGCACAGCUGCACAAGGGGAAGACAGCUGCCACAUGGUAACGCAGUCCUGUAAAGAGUCCCAUGUGGUGAGAGACGUGGUUGGGAGUGAGCUUGGAAGUGGAUCCCCAACCCUCGUCCCCAAACUGAGACUUCACAUGAGACUGCAGCUCUGGCCAACAGCUUCACUGUAACCUCACAACAGACCUUGAGCCACAAGCACCCAGCUAAGCUGCAGGGAGACCCCCUGAAACUAUUGCUACGGAAUAAAAGAUGAAAUGCUCCUGAUUAUUGUAAAUACAAAGUUGCAUGCAGGAUUGUGUAAAGACAAUGCCAGGUUGGACUGCCAGAAUGAGCCAACUGCACGUGAUGUGAUUCCCCCUGCAGAGAGCCUAUGAAUGGACGUGCAGUCAGGGAGGUUUCACAUCACCAAGAUUCCUAUCCUAGAAAGGCAGAUGUUCAUAGCUCUAGGAAUGGAAUGCGACCCUUGUGGAGAGCCUAUAAACGGAUGCAUGGGGGUGGGGCGCCUGUCCAUAUGGAUAAGAUAGGGCUAGAAACGCCCUCAUCUUGCCACAGCUCUUCUAGGCCUCUUUAGGGUUAAGGCAUACUCCCUUCUGAGAAUUUCUGGUCUAACUGGUUGUCUAGCUUCACAUCCUGUUUCCGUGGAUUGUUUGUAACCAGCUUUUGUUGCAAUUGUUACUGCUGAUUAAUAUCUUGCUAAUCAUAGGUUAUGGAAAGAUUGUGCUUCUGUUUUAAGGCUCUGUUAGAAAUUACUGACGCACACACUAUAUUGUAAAUUCUUAUCUCUCUAUGCUGUACUUCUACAUACAAAUGUACUGUACUUCUACAUACAAAUGUACUGUACUUCUACAUACAAAUGUUAUGUUAAUUACUUCAUCCCCAUGUGACCAUCUCACCUCAUAAUCAAAUGACCCUAAAUCCCUCACUAACCAACCCCCACCCUCACUUAACUUAAUAAUAAACGCUGGUAUAUCCAGAGCAUUGUUGGCACCAUGGGACCAGAAGGCGGUGACCCCCCUGGACCCAGCUUUCACUAUCUUGUGUGUGUCUAUUAUUUCCCAACCUGCUGAUCUGCCUGGGAACAAAGAGAGAGCCCCAUUGCAUUGUGGGCUGCUGACCAGAUCCUGAAGAUGCAUGCAACAACGAGACAGAGAAAUUUGCUGAAAAAGCACCACAGCAGGAAACAACUAACACAUCCAAUCAUCAAAAAGAAGAAAAGACCACGCUAACUCCUUUACAACAGACAAUCCAGACAGCCAUCCUGAACAACUUGUCUCCAGCGAUCCAGGUCUGGCUCAACCUCUGCCUCCUCCUGAUGACACUGAUCCUUCUACCUCUGUUACGCCACAGACUGUUAAAAACUAUACAUAUUGGGCCUAUAUUCCUUUUCCUCCUCUUAUUCGAGCCGUGACAUGGAUGGAUGCUCCUAUCGAGGUCUAUGUUAAUGAUAGUAUUUGGAUGCCUGGUUCUCUAGAUGAUCGUUGUCCUGCACAACCUUCAGAAGAAGGAACCCCUUUCAAUAUCACUUUAGGUUUUAGGUAUCCACCUUUCUGCCUGGGACCCACUAAUGUAUGUCUCUCAUUAGAUAUUCAAACUUGGGCUGUCACACUACCGUCUGGUCACUCUGUCCCUCCUUUAGGACACUUGAUAUCAGGGCUCUCAUUAAAACCUCUAAGGCAGAUCAAAACAGUAAUCACUGAUUAUAUUCACACAUCCCAAUAUAAGCCUUUAGACCUGUGUGUCCUCUCAACUUGUCUUCAAAUGCUGACAAAAUUAAUAUGGAAAGACUGUGUUAGCUCAGAAGGAACCGUGUUAUUUAAUUCUUCUCACUACACCAUUGUUGAUUGGGCUCCUAAAGGUCAUAUUACUAAUGAUUGCUCUCAAGGUCACAGAGAUUGUCAACAUUUUCUCUAUAAUAUUACUUAUCAAAAACGUAGUGACAGCCCUCCCCUAUUAUAUCGUAGAUUUAACUCCUUUUUUCCUCUUAAGUGGAAAGGGGCAGGGGUUGCGCCUCCAAAGCCAAGGCUCAUUGUUCCCCACAUAGGACCUGAACAUUCCAAAUUAUGGAGAUUAACAAUAGCUAUGACUGGUAUGAGAGUUUGGGCUGGAGAAAGUGUUAUAAGUAAAUCCACUUUGUCACCUCAAAAUGUAUAUACUCUCUAUAUGGAGUCCAACAAAACUAUACCACUUAAAAGUUGUGUUAAACCACCAUAUAUGUUAUUAGCAGGAAAGUUGCAUAUUAGUUCAAAAACCAACAUAAUUACCUGUGUUAAUUGUUACUUGUAUACUUGUAUUGACUCAUCCUUUAAUCAAUAUCAUAGUAUUUUAAUAGUCAGAGCCAGACAAGAUAUUUGGCUCCCUGUAGCCUUACAUAGGCCUUGGGAAUCUUCCCCCUUUAUCCAUGUUAUUAACAAUAUUCUAUAGAAAAUUCUUAAAAGGAGUAAACAAUUUAUUUUUACAUUAAUUGCAAUAAUAAUGGGCUUGAUUGCUGUUACUGUGAUUGCUGCUACUGCUGGAGUUGCAUUACGUCCAUCUAUUCAAACUGUUCAUUUUGUGGAUAAAUGGCAAAAAAAUUCUACUCGGAUGUGGAAUUCUCAGGUAUUGAUCAAAAAUUGGCUAAUCAAAUUAAUGAUCUAAGACAAACUGUUAUAUGGAUGGGAGGUAGAAUUAUGAGUUUAGAACAUAGAUUACAAAUGCAAUGUGAUUGGAAUACUUCUGAUUUUUGUAUAACUCCAUUUCAAUAUAAUGAGUCUGUUCACAAUUGGGAAUCAGUAAAAUGCCAUUUACAAGGAAGUGAAGAUAAUUUAAAGCUUUAGACAUAAGCAAACUAAAAGAACAGAUUUUUGAGGCCUCUCAAGCACACUUAACUGCUUUACCCGGUGCUGAAGUUUUAGACGGUAUCUCUGAGGGAUUAUCUAAUCUCAACCCCAUUCAAUAGGUAAAAUCUUUGGGAGGAUCCACUAUCGUUAAUUUUGUUCUGUGUAUAAUUUGUACUAUUGGUUUAUUGUUCAUGUGUAAAAUUGGAAAAAAUAUUCUUCAGUCCAAUUGUGAUCAGUGCCAAGCUAUGAUUGCUAUGGUUCAUUUAAAUCAGAGAGAAGGGGGAGAUGUAAGGAGACCCCCUGAAACUGUUGCUAUGGAAUAAAAGAUGAAAUGCUCCUGAUUAUUGUAAAUACAAAGUUGCAUGCAGGAUUGUGUAAAGACAAUGCCAGGUUGGACUGCCAGAAUGAGCCAACUGCACGUGAUGUGAUUCCCCCUGCAGAGAGCCUAUGAAUGGACGUGCAGUCAGGGAGGUUUCACAUCACCAAGAUUCCUAUCCUAGAAAGGCAGAUGUUCAUAGCUCUAGGAAUGGAAUGCGACCCUUGUGGAGAGCCUAUAAACGGAUGCAUGGGGAGGUGGCUGUCCGUAUGGAUAAGAUAGGGCUAUAAACGCCCUCAUCUUGCCACAGCUCUUCUAGGCCUCUUUAGGGUUAAGGCAUACUCCCUUCUGGGAAUUUCUGGUCUAACCGGUUGUCUAGCUUCACGUCCUGUUUCCAUGGAUUGUUUGUAACCAGCUUUUGUUGCAAUUGUUACUGCUGAUUAAUAUCUUGCUAAUCAUAGGUUAUGGAAAGAUUGUGUUUCUGUUUUAAGGCUCUGUUAGAAAUUACUGACACACACACUAUAUUGUAAAUUCUUAUCUCUCUAUACUGUACUUCUACAUACAAAUGUACUGUACUUCUACAUACAAAUGUUAUGUGAAAGAAUUACUUCAUCCCCAUGUGACCAUCUCACCUCAUAAUCAAAUGACCCUAAAUCCCUCACUAACCUACCCCCACCCUCACUAAACUUAAUAAUAAACGCUGGUAUAUCCAGUGCAUUGUUGGCACCAUGGGACC
rnacentral:lncRNA from 1 species